rnacentral:lncRNA from 1 species
CAAGAUGGGUCUCCAGAUUUUUUUUGGCUCUUUUUCUGGUCACUGAGGAAAAUUUUUCAUUCAAAUACAUUUCUAGAUGACCUCUUGUUCUAAUAUAGGGAUAUUGCUGUUUUGUAGGAAGCCUGUGCCUUCAUCACAUCUAGACAUAAUAAUGCUAUAUUAUAUUUUGACUUACUAGAUGUCCUUGGAUACGAAGCGGAAGCCAGGCGCCCUUACUCCUAAGGACACUGCAAGAGCCCAGAAGUCCACAGAUGAGCUGAUGCUGUUGUACUUGUCAAGGCUGCUAGAUCUUCCAGUCACCUGAUGUCCUCUGUUCUCCUACAAAUGUGGUACCACUUGCUGCAGUCAGCAGUCGUGAGGGCAGUAUCCCAAGAACUCUGUGCUGCAGCGGCUGCUGGAGCAUGAUUGCUGAGUUGCCAGUGCAAGGAGCAGAAGGAAAAAAAAGAAUUCUCUCUUUUUUACUUUGAUCUGCUUUCACAUGGAUUCUGGCAACGCAAUCUGGGAAAUGUAGUUUUCCAAUUCCAGCCACAGAAAAGAGCAUGGAAAAGUGGGAAUGAAGUUGAGAAUCAACAGACAAAUGAUCUGCUUAGCACUCAUUUUUUUUCCCUGAUGGAAUGUACAAUUUUCUAAAAAUGUAGACUUGGAAUUCAUUGCUAGAGUAUAGGUGUCAUUAACUCAGUGGUAAUAUUAAAACUACAUAUUAUUGAAAUUUUUCUUAACUUGUUUUAGGAGAUGGAAUUUGGUUACCUAAAACUAAAGUUAAUAUUCAGGCAGUACACACUAAUAAUCCUAUAUCCAUUAUGUAUAGCCAGUAUCUGUUCUGAUUAGUCAUAUUAACAUUUUUGACUGGUCUGUGUUCAUGCCUUAUCAGCAAUAAAUAUUUUGAACAUUACCCACUCCUCCCUAAAACUGUUCUAGUUUGUUAUUUAUUAUUAUAUGCUUAUUAAAUAGCCUUAAUCACAGUGAAAUAAUAAUAUUGAAAUUUAGCCUAUGAAAAAACUUCAGAUUUUGCUUUAAUAAUUUAAAAUAUAAUAAUUUAUUUUAUAAUAUCUA